UAAAGACGAGAAGACCCUUAGAGUUUUUCUAAAGUUGAGAUUAUAAUUUCUCAUAACAGUUUAGUUGGGGCAACAUAGGAGCAGAAAAAUAUUUAAUCUCCUGAAAAUAAUUAAUCGAUUAUUUUAGUAUUGGAUAAACUACCUUAGGGAUAACAGCAUAAUUUUAUUAUUAAGUUUGUGACCUCGAUGUUGGACUGGGAAACUUAAAGGUUAGCCACCUUUAAGGUGAGUUCUGUUCGAACUAUUAUUCCC
rnacentral:rRNA from 1 species